CCUACGGGAGGCAGCAGUGGGGAAUAUUGCACAAUGGGCGAAAGCCUGAUGCAGCAACGCCGCGUGAGUGAUGAAGGCCUUCGGGUCGUAAAACUCUGUCCUCAAGGAAGAUAAUGACGGUACUUGAGGAGGAAGCCCCGGCUAACUACGUGCCAGCAGCCGCGGUAAUACGGAGGGGGCUAGCGUUAUCCGGAUUUACUGGGCGUAAAGGGUGCGUAGGCGGUCUUUCAAGUCAGGAGUGAAAGGCUACGGCUCAACCGUAGUAAGCUCUUGAAACUGGGAGACUUGAGUGCAGGAGAGGAGAGUGGAAUUCCUAGUGUAGCGGUGAAAUGCGAAGAUAUUAGGAGGAACACCAGUU
rnacentral:rRNA from 1 species